GUGAGUCAUCGAAUCUUUGAACGCACAUUGCACUGCCUGGAAUUCCGGGCAGUAUACCUGUUUGAGUAUCAGUAACACUCUACCUGGGUGUCCUUUCACGAGGCCCUUGGUAGGACUUGAGCGACCGUUCUCGCAAGGGAGCGCCGCUUUAAAUGCAUUUGAGUUGAUCCAGGCCAAAACUUGGAGAAUACCGACAGAGUUAAUGGGUCUCACGACCUUGAUCUGAAGGGAAUCCCCAAGCCAGUCAACCUGUGAUGGCUCACGAAACACACCAUACGGGUGGGCUCUUCACUGAACCCA
rnacentral:misc_RNA from 1 species